rnacentral:misc_RNA from 1 species
AAGUCGUAACAAGGUCUCCGUUGGUGAACCAGCGGAGGGAUCAUUACAGAGUUGCAAAACUCCCUAAACCAUUGUGAACGUUACCUAAACCGUUGCUUCGGCGGGCGGCCCGGGUCCUUCCCGGCGCCCAUCGGCCCUCGCGGGCGCCCGCCGGAGGUAAACCAAACUAUUGCAUUGUAUGGCCUCUCUGAGUCUUCUGUACUGAAUAAGUCAAAACUUUCAACAACGGAUCUCUUGGUUCUG